GGGCAUUUAGCUCAGCGGCAUAAGCACCUGCCUUGGAAGCAGGUAGGUGUGAGUUCGAUCCCCAGUACCGA
rnacentral:tRNA from 1 species